rnacentral:misc_RNA from 1 species
GAAAUGCGAUAAGUAAUGUGAAUUGCAGAAUUCAGUGAAUCAUCGAAUCUUUGAACGCACCUUGCGCUCCUUGGUAUUCCUUGGAGCAUGCCUGUUUGAGUAUCAUGAAAUCUUCAAAGUAAAUCUUUUGUUAACUCAAUUGGUUUCUACUUUGGUAUUGGAGGUCUUGCAGCUUCACACCUGCUCCUCUUUGUUCAUUAGCUGGAUCUCAGUGUUAUGCUUGGUUCCACUCGGCGUGAUAAGUUAUCUAUCGCUGAGGACACUGUAAAAGGUGGCCAAGGUAAAUGCAGAUGAACCGCUUCUAAUAGUCCAUUGACUUGGACAAUACUUUUAUGAUCUGAUCUCAAAUCAGGUAGGACUACCCGCUGAACUUAAGC